AGAGUUUGAUCCUGGCUCAGGACGAACGCUGGCGGCGUGCUUAACACAUGCAAGUGGAGCGACGAACCAGGGCUUGCCCUGGGGCAGAGCCGCGAACGGGUGAGUAACACGUGGGUAACCUACCCCGAUGAUUGGGACAACCCGAGGAAACUCGGGCUAAUACCAAAUGUGCCCGCAGUCUUUGAGGACUGCGUGUAAAGAUAGCUUCGGCCUUCGCAUCGGGACGGGCCCGCGGCCCAUUAGCUUGUUGGUGGGGUAACGGCCUACCAAGGCGACGAUGGGUAGCCGGUCUGAGAGGACGAUCAGCCACACUGGGACUGAGACACGGCCCAGACUCCUACGGGAGGCAGCAGUGGGGAAUCUUGCGCAAUGCGCGAAAGCGUGACGCAGCAACGCCGCGUGGAGGAAGACGGCCCUCGGGUUGUAAACUCCUUUCAGUUGGGACGAAGCUCAACUGGUUAAUAGCCAGAUGGAGUGACGGUACCUUCAGAAGAAGCCCCGGCUAACUACGUGCCAGCAGCCGCGGUAAUACGUAGGGGGCUAGCGUUGUCCGGAAUCAUUGGGCGUAAAGAGCGUGUAGGCGGUCCGGUAAGUCCGCUGUGAAAGUCGGGGGCUCAACCUCGAAUGCCGGUGGAAACUGUCGGGCUAGAGUGCGGAAGAGGCGAGUGGAAUUCCUGGUGUAGCGGUGAAAU
rnacentral:rRNA from 1 species